CACAUCACGUUGAAACACCGGUUUCCGUACGAUCACCGAAGUUAAGCAACAUCGAGCCUGGUCAGUACCUAGAUGGGUAAUCUCUUGGGAACACCAAGUGCUGUAAG